GAUUCAGACGGCUUGUCUUUGUCCGUCACUACGAUCACUCAUGCCAAAUAGACCAUAUGUAAACAGACAAUGUGAUGUUAGAGAUCAAUCGAUUGCAGUGCGUUGGAUGAUUGAAGAACGCCACAAUCCAUCUGACUUUUAUCAUGGGUUAAUGUACAGGAAGCUGAGAAAAUUGUUGAUGUUGAUGUGAAUUAUCCGAAACUGGACUAAAUUGACUUUAAAAAAACAAAUGUGUCUGUGUGUGCGUGUGUGUCUAGGUAUUUUUAUAAUUUCAAGGGAUUCCAAAUUUAGAACCGCCGUGUAACAUUCACAAUUAAGAUUUUUCUCUGUCACAGUUCACGUGAGACGACAGCUUCAAGUGACACUCUUGUCUGAUCAAUACAAAGAUGGAACAUUAUAGUUAUCAUCUGUUACUAAAUGUAUAGAAUUAAUAAAGUCUUAGAUAUAAGAUACUUAUUAAAUUCUGAAUAAAAUCUAACGACAUGAAACCAACUCAUAAGAAUUUGAUCAUUUCGACAGCGGUAUUUGAGACUCUGUUCUUAUUGCUUCCAUUGUGUCAUGUCUUUUGUCUAUCUCAAAGUGAUUGCCCUCCUAUAACGCAGUGCAUACCACAGCUCAGUUUGGUAGAGACAGUAAUGGCGGCACCUACUACUUCUACCUCUACAAAGGCUACUCCCACAUCAUCUUCCUCCCAGAAAACUUCAUCAACCUCAAUAAUAAUCACAUCGUCUACAUUAUCAACCAUGUCCACAACAUCCAGGACUUCCACCAGUUCGUCCAGACCAUCAAACGUGACAACUUCUCGGACAACAGCAUCGACUGUCUCUGUCCAUACAACGCAAUCAACUCGCCCUAAUGCAUCGUCAUUGCAACCGUCAACAGCCAGUGUCUUGACAGGGACAUCCACUCUCUCAAUUCUAUUAACAGAACCGACUCUCAAAGACAAUAUCACGUCACCACCAUGCUUUCCAACAGACAGUCCCUUGAAUUGCAGUUUCCCAAUCAAUGACAAACAAGUACAAAGCAAUGAAACCAACUUAAUUAUAGGACUUACAAUCGCUUUGUGCCUCUCUGCCAUUAUUACAUUAAUGAUCGUCUGCUUUGUGCGGCGAUUACGUGCUCAAAGAAAUGCCCGCCGUGGGGUUAAAAAUAACUCUGACAUCUUUAACCAAUCAGAAAAAGAUACACGAUCCAGUGUGUAUUGUAACAGUUUCAUAAAAAGGGACGUCAUUUUACCCGUACUAAAUAGUUCGACAGAUCUCAAAUCAGUUCCUUUAAAAAAAGUAGAUACUGCAUCAAUCAUUUAUAGUCAAGUAUCAAAGAAGACAUUAGACCAUAAAGGCAGCCAUGACAAUUUUAAUGUCUCUAGUGAAAUCUACACUGAAGCCGCACCAGAUGGGGCUGAUACCAAAUUAUCAGGAACCUAUUAUGUGCUUGAACAAGAUACUAACUACACAGAUGGAGAGUAUAUAAACUCAAACUCUAUUCAAAAAGAGAGUUCUUCAAUAGACAAAGAAAAAGGAAGGGUCAACAUCAAUCAAGAGUAUAUCAACUCAGAAUCUCUCAAGAAAGAGAUUUCUUUAGUACACAGAGAAGAAGAAAUAAACACAGCAUUAUAUAAAAACAUACAUAAAGAGGAGAAUUUGCUAGCGAUUGAAAACUCUAGACUUGCAGACGAUCGAAAUGGAAAGAGCCUACCCCAAAUUGUCAUGGCAGAUCCACGAUACUGGAAUCAAACAGGAAAUGAUGAUAUUGAAAGAAGUUCAGUAAUAUUGGAUUCAGAAGACAAGAAUGAAAGAAAAUAUCCAGAAAUACACGUCACUGAAGAUUGUUAUAUUAAUGUUCACCAUGAUAAAUCAGCUGCAACCCCAGACAAUUCAGUUUUAAACAGUGUUUUAAAAACAAGAGACACAUAUGCCAAUGGAAAACUUUUACAGAAAGAUUUGGCUCAAAUGGAUUACUCUAAUGAUGGUAGCCAAUGGGAAUCUGGUAGUAGAAAUCCAAGUGACAAUUAUGCUAAACUACGAGACGUCACUAAACCGUCUAGCGACGACUACGGCCCAAUAAUGCCAAAAGAACUCGACAACAUUAAAUAGCUUCUAAUAAUAUUAAAAGAAGGCUUGGAGAUUAAGCAUUUAUGGACUUACUUAGACUUAGGUCCUCCCGCGUCGUUCGGCGCAUUGGGCGGCAAGCUGUCUCCAUAAAGAUCUGUCAUUGGUAAUGUCUGAAGCCUCCUCCCACCUGGUGUCCACUGUUCUGACGUCCUCUAUGAAGGUGUGUCGCCAAGUAAUACGGGGGCGUCCCUGUUUGCGCUUUCCUCGUAUUGGCUUCCACGUUAUCGCAACUCUUGGUGUGCGUAAUUCAUUUUGACGUAGAACAUGUCCCGCAAACCUCAUGCAUUCGACUCCAAGUUCCGCAUAGGAUUUCCUUGUUUGAGACUCGAUCUGUGUAACUGAAUCCCAAAAUCCGUCUCAGCCAUUUUUGUUGAGGCACAUUUAGUCUUUUCUCGAUUUGGACAGAUGACUUCCAUGUCUCACAUGCAUAAGUAGCAGUUGGAAUGACGAUUGUGUUGAGAAGGUGUAUUUUUGUCUCGAGUCCAAUGGCUUGGCUAGUCCAAAUAGGCUGCAGCCUUUGGAAAAUGCUUCCUACCUUUCCUUGCAUUUAUGGAAGUUAUCUAAAAUAAAAAUGUAUAUCAACCGAGGGGAUUAUGACAACUGACGUCACAGAUACCUUCGAGACCGUUAACAUUCCUAAAAUGAUUCUCGUUGCCUGUCAUAGGGCGGUACUGCUGCAGACCUGCCCCAUCACCAAAAAAUUCCUCAGUGGACACUGAUAAAGGGACUACAGUGAACCUUGUUUCUCUUGAAAGAAACUCGACCCUGGCAGCGCCAGAGAAUAGAAUACUCGUUCGUUUCUAACAUAAUAAUAAUCUUUAUUGUCAAUUAGAAAAUGUGUCUGACUAUAGACCAAAAAAAACAAACAUCAUUUUAACUAUAGAAAAUAAAAUAGACAUCAAAUUUUACUGCCUGGUGUAACACAAAGGUUAGGACAAAUGUUAGGCUCAAAUAACUGGCUGUAGCCAGCACAACACUGUUUGCCUGCCUGCUAAUAUGAGCUGAUGCGGGGUGGGGGCGGCUCUGUGCGCUACAUCUAACUCCACCCCCUGACCUUGAUACUCGUUCAAGCGAAUAGUUUUCACUAAUUUUUCGUUUGUGGCAAUUCAGAAUAUUUAAAAAAAAAUGUUUUGUUUCAUUUAUGUUAAUAUUCUUCCUGGUAGAAAAGUGGAUGAACUUUAACCUGUUAGUUAGACCAAGUUUUCAUUGUGUUACAGCAGAGGUAGGCAAAUUACGUCCCGCGGGCCACAUGCGGCCCGCCGAAGCGUUUUAUGCUGCCCGCGAACACCUAAAGAAAUCAGGUGUGUCCACACAUUACACAAAUAUAAAAAUGCAAAUAUAUUAAAAAUAAAUAAUUGUAAAUAUCUUUAAUUUAUUAAAACUUUUGAUUCUAAUCACUUAUAAUGAAGAAGCUAAAGAAACAAUGUCUCUAAAUGUUAUUCUAAUAAGUUUAUAAAGUAAAUGAAGAUUAUUUUAAAUUUCAAUAAUUCGGGAAAUUCAGUCAUAGACACAAGUUCAAGCCAGUAUGUAUUCAAUGUUAUGAAGAAAAGUUGAAAGAGUUGGGCUGGCUUGUACAAGAUGGCAAGGGUAACAACUGAUGGAGCCCCUUGCUUAGACUGAUAAAAAGAGGCUUUUUAAUAAAAUAAAGACAAAUUUCCCAACCAUAAACUAAUAACGCGAAAGUUUACACAAAGCUGCAUUGAAUACCAAGUUUAAAGGGAUAUAUCCCAUUUACACAAUUUAGGCAAACUGUGCAGCUGCUGGCCUCGCAUAAGACCUCUUAUUACAUCAAAUUUAGAGAGGAAAUAGCGAAACCCUGUUAUUGUUGAAGUACACUAGGUUUUAAAAAAAGGCAUACUUUUAGACUUUUUGAAGUUAUAUUUUAUUUUUCUAUUUUAUUUGGUGCUACCAAAUUCACUUUGCCUAGGGCCUCCAAUCAACUAAGGCCGGCCCUGGCUGGCUAUUCGGUAACACAGUAGAAUCCACUGGCCUAGCAUUAGAAUAAUAUGGAAUCUCAAUGAAGAAAUUGUUAGGCUUCUUGAAGAACUGUGUUUCUAAUAUUUCUAAUGAAGAGCUGAAGACUUCAUGUUUAUCAUCGCAAGCAUGUGCAUCCUAAAUCUUUGCAAACAAAGCUAUUCCAUUUCUUGAGGCCAGCAAGUGAAAUCAGGUCUUCUUAUUUUCAUUGGUGAAGGUGAAACCAUUUACCGUGAAAUGGUUGAAAAGUACAAGACUUAUUUGGAUUCCUUGAUUGUGGAAUUUGAAAGCCAAUUUUGAGACGUCAAGAACUUGGAACCAGUUUUCAAUACCCUCAGUCAAAAACCUCUAAGCAAAUUAUGAUCUGAAAAGGAAGUUCCAGGCAGCUCUUUCGCGGGAAUUAAAAAAAAAAACUUUGCUGAUUAACUUUCACAUUAUUUGGCAAAGCAUGUAGGUCACAGCUGGGGUUGCGGAGCCACGCGAAGUACUGCAUUCCUCACUGAUCUGCGGACUCUAAGACAAGUCUUAUUAUUAGUAUAUGACUGAGUCAUAAACAUCCAGAGAGACAACGAAAUUAGAAAGAUGGUUGAGUAGCUUUUUACUUAAUUGUUAUACUCUCAUAGCGACAAUGAACAAACAACAUGGCAUUCUUGGUCAUGGCAAUACCCUUGUGUACUUGCGAGCGUGAACGUAGCGAUGGAAUGGAGAUGUUACAGAAACGAUCUACCUAACACAUACAGAGACCGCAUAAAAGAGAGGUAAUAGAUAGAGAGAUCACAAUGGCGAUUUGGUCCAAGAUGACCUUCUGACCAUAGUAAAAAAAAACGCAUACUAAAACUGUACGGCUAUAUCACGAGAUCCUCAAGCUUCGUAAAGACCGGAAGAGAACAGUGCCAUGAAUAGAAGGAGAACCGCCAGAAAAAGUGAUGGUAAGACAGGAUAUGGUAAGACAGGAUAUGGCAAGACAAUGUGUGGUAAAACAGGGUAUGGCGUCUAAUCCUGGCAAAAGACAGAGAAGAAUGGAUGAAGAGACAGGCCAUGCGUGGUGCCUCAACGGCCCAACAGACUAAGGCAGUGUUUCUCAAACCUUUUCCUGUAGAGAACGUUUCGCACAUUCUGAGUAGGAUAUUUAGCGGAACACUUUGCUAUUUUUUUUAGACCUAUUAAUUUAAUUAUAAUUAAUUUUUAGACAGAUAAAUUAAAAUGGUGGCCUACUAGUUAAUUAUUCCUGUAGUUUAUGAAACACCUAUUCAAGACUUGCGUAACAUCAGCGAAAAAAAAUGUUUGGGAUACACUGGACUAGUUGGGUGUGGCCCACUGAGUCAAAAAGUAAACCUAAACCUGAACUCGAUCUAAAUUAAAAGAACCAGGCUUUAGUAUUAGUCACGUGACAAGAAACUUUCUCUGCAGUGUGAUGAACAUGUCGAUGUUAUCACGUGACCACUCUGGAGGCCCAUCGAAAGAAAAACGAAUAUUUUGAACAUCUGGAUUGUCAUGGUAGACAUUGACAUAGACGCCUCUGGCGGGGUGCUGUUGAGCCGAUGCUUCUUGUCUCAGUCAGACCUUGUUUUUAUUUUUAACACUUCCUCUAUUCAGCUUGCAAAUGUAUGUAAACUGGGAAAAACUGGGCACAGAUCUCGAAGGCGACAAAAAAUGAUAUUUAUGUGAUACUUAAAGCUUAUUCUUGAAACGAUCCGGUCUAAAGAAAAUACAUUUCCUUACGAAGUUCUUUCUUGUGUGUCAUAUACAAUCUUCAUCUUUUUCGCCUGACACCAUGUUUUUUUUUUGUUCUGUACUAAUCCCCAGAUUUGAAAAUUUGCUUUCAACAAAGGUAAUACUGGCUUCAGCGAUGUCCUCCAGACUAGUAGUUAAAAAUGUCUUUUUAACUAAAUUAAUGCUUUUAGUAUCUAUUAGUUUGGAUCAGUCAUGUAAUGUUUUUGUAAUAGAUCUAGACCAGGGGUGGGCAACAUUUUUGUAUCGAGGGCCGCAUUAAAAAAAGUUUGGUAAUGGCGGCCGCAUAUAUAUAUAUAUAUUUAUGUGUGUGUACCCAAAUAGUGUGAACAGCAGCAAAGUUUUUUAUAAUGUGGACAUACAGCUUCUGGCACCCAUAAAACUACCGUGGUAGUGAUGACUGGAACUUCUCUUUGCUUUCAGUUAUGUCCUCUGGAGCUGAAUCGGCUUCUCUUAAUAAGUGUUGUACUUUAAAUCCUUUUUCACUCAAUUUUGUUUCACCUUUCAGCAAAGGAAAAUGACAAAAAACUAUUUCUUUUGCUUGCUUGUAGAAAUGGGGAAAGUCUGAUUUGUAAAGAUGUAACAUGCAUUUACAUUUCAUAUACAAACAAUCAAUUGCAAUAGCAAUUAUGAAAAAAACAUAAAAUUUGUCUUCAACUCAUCAUUACAAAUAUUGGUAACAAAGUCACAGUCAAUGUCCAUCAAUUAACAUAACAAUUUCAUCAUUGAGAUUUUAUAUUCUUCUCCUUUGCCUUGCCCAUACUAAGCUAGCGGAUGCAUUGGAUUAUUUAUUCAUAAAUCAGCACUAAUAAGUAAUAUUGCUAUCGCAUUUCACAAGACUAAUUGUUUCAAUUAUAAGCAGCUUUGUGCAAACUUUCCUGUUUCAAGUUUAUGCUUUCAGUCUAAAAUCGACCUCCAUCAGUUGUUACACUUGCCAUCUUGUUCCAAGCCUACCCAACACUCAGAGAUUGUGUCUUGAAUUGAGUGUAUUGAUGUAUAGCCAAUAAGCAUAAUCUUCGUUUACUUAAAACUUUUUAUAAUGAGACAGUUUCAAUAACUAACAUAAUAACUAACAAUACCAACGUGGAUUGCACCAGAAUGUGGAAAUUAAUUACGGAGAGAAAGAGUUAAGUUAAAUUUUACCUUCUCCCUGAAUACACUUGGUGAUGAAUGAAUCGAACAUCAAUGUAAGAAUUUACUACAAACUAUAUUUCCAAGUAUAUUAUACAAUUUAUAAAAUAAUCUUUUUACGAAAAGAUAGGAACCUGCCGAGUUCUACUACAAUUAGCAAUUUUUUGGGGGGCUGGUGUAAAUAGCAAUUUUUUAUAAAAAGGUUUGUAAAAAAGAAUGCCUAGAAACUUCAACUUCCUAAUACCAUAAAGAGUUAUAUAUCAAUUACUUACAGUGGUUUCCCAUUCCUACACGACCAUAGAGUUAAAUUACCGCCAAGUUAUUUAAAUCCUGCUGCGGCCGGUAGUGUGAGGAGUCAGCUCUGUUGCUUGAGAGGAACCAAGUGUUGGGUUUAUAUUUUUUGUUCUUUACAAUUAUUUAUGUGAUAUAUGAAUAAAUUUACAAUUUACAUUUCAACAAUGCUGCAAUAUAUAUUUUCAAGUCUUGUAUGUAUUCAUCUUGUAUUGUCACACUACUGUUCAGCAGAAGAUUGCAGAUAUCAAUUAUUAUUGCCAAGCUCUUGCUAUAUAGAUAAUAGAUCACUUUCAGAUGUCAGCCUACCUUGUACACUUGAAACAUGUAGCAAUGCAGAGUACACGUGUGCCUAUAACGGAACUGGACAAGACUUCAGUUAUUUAGUUUUUUAUUGUAAUUCAAUUAAAGCUAACAGCGAAAGGUUGAAUUGUACAUUUCGUAGAACAUCAUGGAUAUUAUAUAAUAACAUUACAGCCUUGUUUAAUGUUUGUUUGAUUAAUGAAGCAACCUGUAACAUACCUAAACAGUAUCUGGCUAAUUGUGCUUUAAACAGUUUUAGUACUAAUACCACUCAUGCAUCUACUAGCGCAUCUACAGCUAUUUCCGUAGUAACGACAACGAAAAUCACCACAUCAUUGGCCACUAGUCCACCCACACCAUCACCUCUUAGCACAUCAACAACCAGAGCAACAACAACUGAAUGGGUUAAAACUACAUCGCUCGAGUCAGCCACAACAGCAACCAAUAUUUUUUCAGCGUCUCCCACAAAAAAUGCGAGUCAGUCAGUCAGUCAGUCAGACAUUAGCACUAUCCAUGUCUCAUCACAUUCAGACACACAAGAAGCAACUGAAAACAACAAACUUAUAAUAGGAUUACCAGUAGCUUUUGGCAUAGCAUUUCUUAUAUUAACUCUUGUCUUUAUUGUAGCAUUCGUGCAUGAUAAGAGAAACAAAUCUAGAUCUAGAAAGAAAAUGAAUGCGUUAAAUACACAGUUGAAUCUUAGAUCAUCUCAGACUUCUAUACUUGCAAUAACAGAAACAAAUUCAGAUCCAUGUAGUCAAGGAUAUACUGUAGAUUAUGCUAAUCAUCAGGCUGAACACAAAACUCAAAAUGAUGGUUUAUCAGUAUAUACCAAUGAAAAUAGUCUCUCGAGCAAUUAUUCUAGAGUCAUUGGUACACCAAAAGGAGUGACCCUUAAUAAAACAAUGACGCAUUCAGAGCCUCUGUUAGUACAAUACUCAAUGGUUAAAAAAACACACAAUAAUGUUGGUAGUGCAGGUAACCCAUCUGUUCAGCCAGGUUACGUCAGUAACAACCUGUACGGCAAAAGCGGAAGUAAGUUACUGACAGAGAAUGACACGACAUAUCACGAAACGAAAACUGAAGCCCAGACACAAGUGAAUUACUCGAAACUUUUUGAAGUGUCAAGAGAAACUUCUUCAGAAUAUGCUGCAGUUUGUAAUGUCAAACAUAUAGACAACCAGUCAGUUCAUCUGUAAUAGAGUUAGAAGAAGUCGGUUCCUCUACAAUAUCUUUAGACAAGCAGUCAGUUCCUGUAUAAUUGCUUUAGUUCUUCUAUAAAAGCGUUAGAUAAGCAGUCAGUUAAUAUAUAAUAAACGAUUGAAAAGCAGUCAAUUCCUCUUUUUACUGCACAUUCUGACUCAAAUUUUGUUGUCAACAUUUUACAACUUUUCUAAAGAAAGACGCUUUACAAUUUUAAACACUGUAUCGUUGUAAAGAGGAAAACAAGAACUAUCUAGCACAUGAUUAAUAUAAAUCACAUCAUUCAUAUAAGUCACAUCAUUUAUAUAAGUCAUAUCAUUUAUAUAAGUCACAUCAUUCAUAUAAGUCACAUCAUUCAUAUAAGUAACAUUAUUCAUAUAAGUCACAUCAUUAAUAUAAGUCACAUCAUUUAUAUAAGUCACAUCAUUUAUAUAAGUCACCUCAUUUAUAUAAGUCACAUCAUUAAUAUAAGUCACAUCAUUCAUAUAAAUCACAUCAUUCAUAUAAGUCACAUCAUUCAUAUAAGUCACAUCAUUCAUAUAAAUCACAUCAUUCAUAUAAGUAACAUCAUUAAUAUAAGUCACAUCAUUAAUAUAAGUCACACCAUUUAUGUAAGUCACAUCAUUAAUAUAAGUCACACCAUUCAUAUAAGUCACCUCAUUAAUAUAAGUCACACCAUUCAUAUAAGUCACAUCAUUUAUGUAAGUCACAUCAUUAGCAUAAGCCACAUCUUUAAUAUAAGUCACAUCAUUAAUAUAAGUCACAUCAUUAAUAUAAGUCACACCAUUCAUAUAAGUCACCUCAUUAAUAUAAGUCACACCAUUCAUAUAAGUCACAUCAUUUAUUUAAGUCACAUCAUUAGCAUAAGCCACAUCUUUAAUAUAAGUCACAUCAUUAAUAUAAGUCACAUCAUUAAUAUAAGUCACACCAUUCAUAUAAGUCACAUCAUUAAUAUAAGUCACACCAUUCAUAUAAGUCAAAUUAUUAAUAUAAGUCACACCAUUCAUAUAAGUCACAUCAUUAAUAUAAGUCACACCAUUCAUAUAAGUCACAUCAUUAAUAUAAGUCACGUAAUUUAUAUAAGUGUUAUAAGCCUUUGUUCUCUACUCAUUUUCAGUCCUUUUUGUUUUGAUAAUCUUGUAACUUCUAAUAUCCAUUUUGGAAAUAAUUGGAGGAUAUAACUCCUCAUUUGUUUACAACACAAAAAUAGCAUAGUGUACCUUUUUUUAUGUCUAUAAAAGUAUGGCGACAAAUUGCUGUGACAGUAACACUGUAACACUGUUACAUCGAUAAUUAUUAAUGCCCACAUUCUUUUAGCACUUAAUUCUGUGAAGACAUAAUCGUUGUAUUUCGUUUAUUUAUUAUAAAAUAUGAAUUGCAAAAAUGUAUGUUUAGCCUUUAUGAAAAGCACUUAUUGUUUAAAAGCUUUUAUUAUCGAUCACACUAGUCCUCUGAAAAAGCAUAUAUAGUUUAUUGAAUAAAUUAUGUAACAAAAUAAAGAUAUACGAUCAUAUUUAUGCAAGAAUGUCAUACUAUUGAACGUGUCAAGACCUAUAAAGAUAUUUUAGUUUUUCAUUGAACAAUUCAAAGAUCAGCGCUUCUAUUAUUACUACUAUUAUUAAAGCCAUGUUUUUAUCAAUAAAAUUUCAAAAGUAUUUGUUGGAAAGAAUAUAUAUAUCAUUAUAAGCUUGAAAAUAAAAAAGAACAGAUUAUCCUUUAGUAUUUUCCGACCAUUUCUUAAAAAAAUUAAAAUUAUGCUCAAGUUUCAACUAUCGUUAUUUAUUUUGUUUUGCGUAAAAUUUGGUUAU